AGGCCGUGGGGCUCAUAAGAAGUAUUAGUACAUUCGAGUUUUUGACCAUCGACACUUCUCACACGUAAUACAUUAAGCAUGAAUUGACCAAAGAUAGAAGAAUGCUAGCUCACAAGCAAACAGCAAUUCUUGACAUCAGAAAACAAGGUUCCCCAACAAUAUAGAAGUUAGGGUAACUGUUAGGUUAUCAUCAAGCUCUGUACUUAUGGGGAGUGAUUCCACAAAAGCCGAGGCAAGAGAGACAACCAAGAAACCUAAUAACAUCUCCCAGCUUUUCUGAACAUAUCCGAACGAGGCGAAAUAAUACAUAAACCUGUCACCAUAUUAACUGAUCACUAACCAACCUUCUACAUUACGCAUCAGCUCAAACAGCAUCAACAAAGUUAUGACAUGAGAUUAUGUAAGAGUAAGACUUACCCAACAGAAGCCACGAAACCAGACAGGGCCAUUGCAACACUACCAGCUAUAGACUUGUUUUUGUUGUAUGGGAUUUUCUGCCUUCCAAAGCGCCUUCCCACAAUGUCUGCCAUCCCUGAUUAAAAAAGAAGAAAAAAAAAGGCAGUUAUUAGGCACAGUACAAAAAGAAAGUCUCAAGCAUAUCUGUUCUUCCAUGUACUGAAACUUAAAUCAGUGAGCAGUCAAGUUAUACGUUGAAGUAAAGAAUGUAUAUUACUCAAUUAAAAAAUACCAUCUCCAGCACACAGGUUGCAUAUUGCUGCAAUUGCAACCGGGGAAGUCCUCCAAUAGAUAGCACAAGCCCCAGUAAUUGUCAAGGCAUAGUACAGCGGUCCUUUAAGAAGUUCCCUGAUGAAUGGAGGAAAGAUGAGGUGGUCAAAUUGAGAAGUAUCAUAAAGAAACAAUCAAAGAAUAUCAUGAUGUGUCAACUCCAAAAAAGUAAUGGAUCGCUUAGAAAACAAGAAGUGUUUGUUCAGAAACCUUUAUCUAAGAAAAAUAAGCGCCAGCCUAGAAGUUAUCUUCAUAACAAAACAACUCACUUAAAAAAUAUGUACAGUAAGUAUCCCGUCUAAUCCACCAAAUCAAAUAAAAUCUUGAGGAACAAAUUAGGAGUAAAUUGCGCAGCUGAAUCAGUUCAAAACAAAAGGGAUCUCUCAGGGAGGGAUCAAGAAUGAGAAGGGAGCCUUCAAGACAUUUAACACAGGGAGGCUUCAUGAAUUUUACAUCCAGAGCUGCAAGUUAUAACCUGCGGUCUCCAAAUCUGCUCAUUGAUUUCACCGUAGCUUCAUCUUUCCACAUUCCAGAUCCAAUAAGAAGAAUUUGUAUUAUGUUAACACCAGGUGUAAAAGCUGCAAAAAGUGCUCCCCGACGCCCAGAACUACAAUAAUUUGUAAUAGCUGUUUAGGGGGACAGAUUUAUAGCAAUAUUAUGCCAAGCUUCUCUAGUCAUAAAAUUACCUGAAAAUCGGCCAACACAGCAUAAAAACUAACCCGAUGCUUAUAUGCACGAGCUUCCUAUUCAGUUUCUAAACAAAGAAAAGAAAAAGGACAAUCAACCCCUAAUUAGCUGAACACGAAAGGAGAUUUCAUAGGAGAAGAUUGAUAUUUCACGUCCCAUUUUAAGAAACAAGGUAUGACUCACAGACAAAAUCUCCUAUGAAGCAAAUAAUAAAUGAAUAUCACCUCAUGGAAUCCAUCAAAAAGCAGAAAUUAACAUCGAUAUUGCAUGUAAAUUCGAUAUUGCAUGUAAAUUCCCAGUAGUCGUUAUACAAGCUUGUUAAUCAAAAUAUAGUGUAAAAAAUCAAGCAAAAAAAAAAAAAACCUGGUCAAGCCCAUGUUUUGCGGUUUCUUUCCAUAGUUGCAGAAACGCGAAAAUAACAACAGCCGACACAACAGCCGAGCAAAGAUCGGAGACAACUGGGUUACUACCGGUCCACAUUGCAGCAGCCCACCGUAAUAUGCUUAUCUUUGUCAACGUUUUAAGGCCUAAUUAACAACAAAAAGUUUGGUUUUUGUUUGUUUUCCGGAAGGGUAGCCUUGCCAACCUAGAAUAAAUUUCAUGAACCAUUACUCUUCUGGAAGUUUGUGUUAUUUCACAUAAUAAUAAAUUAUAUUUAAUAAAAAGUCAUGUUACACAAAAAUAAAAUCAAGGAGACAUUUUUUAUAUUUUUUCCUGAAACCAUUAUGCUUCUCAUAAAAAUUAUGUUAUUUAAUCUUAAUCAGAAUGUUGUUUCAGAUGUUUAAUUAAUUAAAAUGUCAUGUCAGCAAAAAUAAAAUUAAGAAGAUACCUUUUAUUAUUUCUUAUGAACCACUGAACUCCUCAAAUAGUGAUCACUUGUAUUUAAUUAAAAUAUCAUUGUCAAAACAAACACAAAAUUGAGGAGACAUCUUUAAUACUUUCUUUAAUACCAAAAGUAAAGGAAAUUGAACGAAUCUAAAAUUUAUUUUUUAAGAUAUGCUAGUUGUAUUCAUGUUUUUCUAAUUUAAAUAAAAUUAAUAUAUAUAUAUACACACACUCGCGCGGGCGCGUGAUUUUUUAUGUAGUGUAUUGAACAAAUAUUACCUAUAUAGAACUGUAAAGUGAACAUUAAAAGAAUCUAUUUAAAAGUAUAUGAAAUAGACAUGACGAGAUAUCAUUUAAAAUGGUAAUAGCUAUGAGUCGUAAUUGUUGAGUUUUUGUUUUUUUUUUCAUUUAACUAGAAUCUACUUCCAUUCCCUCUUCUUCUUCUUUUUUUAAGUAUCGUGGAAAUUGUAAUAAUUUUUUAAUAUUUCAAGUACCAAUCAAAUUAUAUUUUCUUUAUUAAAAAAAUAUUUUUUAAAGAAAAUAUAAACAAUCAAGUAGAAAAAAAUAAAAGUAGAAAUACUUAAUAAUUUUUUAGGGGCCCGGCCCCUUGCAAGAAAUUUUAUUUUUCAAGCCUCUAUUCUAGUAGUUUGGUGAUGUAUUUAAGGGCUUGCCCAAUAAAUUAUCAACACAUUUACAUCUAUGUGAAAAAUAUAUUAUUUCUGGGAAACAUUUAUUUGGUGGAAUAAUUAAUAAAGAUGAGCAAAAAAAUCAAAAAAUUGAUUAAACCAAGAAAAUUAGAAAAAAAAUAACUAAAAAAACUGAAUCGUGAAAAAAAACAGAUUAAACCGAUUAGAAUUUUGAAAAAACCGACCGGUUUGAUUUUGGUUUUAUAAGCUUGAAACCGAAAAAACCGAACCGAACCCAAACAAAAAAAACAAAAAAAACAGAGCCAAACCGGUUUGAAGCGGUUUUUGUUAUGAAAAACAGAACCGAACCAAAACCGGUCGGUUUGAAUCGGUUUCGGUUUUUUAAAAAAUAUAUUUUUUUUGGUAUAGUUUUUUUUUUUAAUAAAAACCGAACCGAACUGAAAAUAAUAACCCCUACUAACCAAGUAUUAUAUUAUAGAUGAGUGGGGAGCUGGAAUAUUGAGUUUACCAGUAAUAAAUGAAUUUGGAUUUAUAAAAUUAAAAUCCGUUUUAUAAUUAUACUAACGAUCAAACUGAAACCCAGAUAAUCCGUCACUGAAACUUCUCACGCCAAUAGAAAAUGGAGGGCGUUGUGAAAUGGUAUUCACAAUCACACUUCACAACUGUGCUUGGAGAUUAGCACCAAAGCAGAGAAAAAAGAAAAAGAAAUCAGAGGAUAUUACGGGCCUUGGUAGUGGAAAAUGCCGAAAACUUACAAAGCCACUGGGCCUAGAAGAUGGCGCUACCCGCCACGAGAGUGAUGGCAAUUGACACCCUCAAAACAACCACACAACUCGAAUAUACAGGAUACGGACAUGACGAAAGCAGAUUAUUUGAGAUUGAAUUUCAACUUAUUUUUAUUACAUUUUAUUUUUUAAAAUUUUUUAUUUUUAAAUUAUUUUAAUAUGCUAAUAUUAAAAAUAUUUUUUUAAAAAAUAUUUUAAUACAAUGCUUUAAAAAGCAACUGAACACAUCCAUAUACAGCAGCCCCUACGCCAUAUACAGCAACCACACAGAGAAUCCAACAAAACAAGGUUUUGUCACCUUCUUGGUUACAACAAGGUUUGGGUAAAUCAUUUACCCAAACGUCGCAACUGAGUUCCCCUUUACACAUGACGAAACCUAGAUGCCACUAACCUCACCAGCCAUGGCUCCAAGAGACCCACCAUCACCGCCCCCAAGAAGAUGCUAUUCUCCUUAAUUGAUAGACUAUGGGCCUCGGAAUCAUUAAACUUUAUUUAGUUUGAUAGAUCAACUGCUGACCGUUUAUUUAUAACCUAGUCUAUACUAGGUUUUAAAUUACUAGUCUAUACUAGGUUUUAAAUUAAUAAAAGAGCUGAUAAGUCAACUAACAAUAUAUAAUUAAUAGGUUAAAAACCUAUUUUGACUUUUAUUUUUUUUCUUCCAAAAUAAUGUUUUAUUCUUCUUUAAAAAAAACUCUUAAAAUGAAAAUAUUUUAAAUUAAAUUUAAUUUUCUUUCAAAAUAAUGUUUUAUUCUUCUUUAAAAAAAACUCUUAAAAUGAAAAUAUUUUAAAUUAAAUUUAAUUAACUCAUACAACCGGUAACCUAGAACACCAGUAGAGUUUAAUAACUUUAGCGUGCCUUACGUUCCUCUAAGGCAGUGUCCUGUUGCUAUCCAGAUAUGAAAUGCAUGAAACAAAAUAAUACAAAAAAGAAUAAGUAACUGGUUGGAAAUGUAGUGUAAAACACGUUUUUAAAAUUUUAAUUUUUUUAUUUAAAAUAAUUUUUUUAUAUAUUUUUAGAUUAUUUUAAUAUUUAAAAAUUAAAAUUAAUUUUUUUAUUUUAAUAUAUUUUUAAAUAAAAAAUAUUUUAAUAAUUAUAUUUUUAAAUAAAGUAAUCUUCUUGGUAUCCUAUUUGAUUGAUUGAUGACAAGAAAGUACAAAGUUGUUACUAUUGUAUUGUUUUGUCUUUAUAUAAUAUGUAUAUUUUACUAAUUUAAUAAUUCUCAAAGAUUUGUUUUCAUGCUAUGCAAAAAUAAAUAAAUAAAUAAAAUAAGUAUUAAUUUAGUAAUUAAUAUUUUGUUAAUAUAUUCUAAAAAUUUUAAUAUAUUGAUAUUACAAAUAAAAAAAAUAAAAAAAAUAAAUAUAUUUUCAAAUAAAAAUUACAAAGCAACAAGGCAAUUCAAACAAUAAAAGCAAGGCAAUUCAAACAAUAAAAGCAUAGAACCAUUAAUAGAACAAUAAAAGCAACUCAAACCCGAAAGUACCAAAUUAUCAUUUAUAGAACCAUUAAGUUGAGGUCAUAGUUAGUUUACAGAUGGGUGCGUUUGUUUAGCCUUCGUUUUUGUAUUUGCGGUGUAAAAAACACAGCUAGGUACUUGAUAAUAUAUUAAAAUACGUUUUAUAUCAUGGAGCCCACUAAAAAAUUAAGUUUGAAACACAAUUUUUGUAAAGCAGUUUUUGCAUGUUUUUUUAAUCAAGUUUUGUAAAACCUUGUUUGUUUUUGCGUUUCAAAAGCAUUUCUUUUUAAAUUUCAAAAUUUUUUGUUUUUUUCUUCACUUCAAAUUAUUUUUUUCUGUAUUUUUCAUAUUAUUUUGAUGCGCUGAUAUUAAAAAUAAUUUUUAAAAAAUAAAAAAAAUUAUUUUGAUACAUUUCUAAGUAAAAAACACUUUUGAAAAGCAACCAUAACCAAACAUUUUAUACAUGUUUUUUGCUGCACAUAAACCUCAACCAUAAUUUUUCCCAAACACGUAUUAACUAACCACAUCUAAUCAUACUUUUUUUAAUCUUAUUUUUUUAAAACCACAAUCACAAAAGUUACCACAAAAACAAACACUUCGCAGAGACCGUUUGUUUACGCGGCUGCGGCAGCUUUUAAAGCAAACCACGUAAAGUGUAAUACGUUUGGUAACAUUAAAACUCAAAUUACUGUGUAUGUGAGGCCCGUUGAAACCACCGGUUCAUCAAAAGCAACUCUCAGCUGCUUCUCAUGAGGUCGCAUCUAUGCCAGAUGAAUUAAUUUACAUAGACACUGUUCACUUCUUGAAGUGAACAAUGUCUCAACUGUUUAUAGGACCGCGUCCGACUCGAUAUUUUUUUAAUUGUAUUUUACUUGAAAAACUAAUGUUUAAUAUUAUUCAAUAACACUACAUAAAAUAGAAGGACAUCGCAUGAUGACGUAGCAUUUACAAAAUUUGAUCGCAAUUCCAAUUUUAUUUCUGAUGAUAUUUUACCUGAUUUUGCUGCACGCUCAAAAUACCUUGAAAACUAUAGUCCUUAUCGGAUGAAUUUUAUACGUGAUGAAAUUGUAAAUAAGUUAACGAAAUAACAAAAAAUAUUUAAUAUAAAGUAUUAUUUAUUUAAUGAUGUAAUAAUGACAGUUAAAUCUACAAUAUUUAAAUUAAAAACCAUCAAUAUUAAUAUAUAUCUUUUUUAAUUAUUUUAUAACCUCAAUUUGAAAAGUAUUUUUAACCAAACACAUUAAACUACUUUUUAUUCAACCUCAAUUUCAAUCACAGUUUUAACCAAACAUAUAUAAAUACCAAACUAACCUCGAUUAAAAAUAUUUUUUAUAAAAUAAUUUUUUUUUAAAUCACAACCAUAAAAACUACCACAAUUCUUAACACACAGGAUCAGUUGAAACUGAGUUUCAAAUUAAAGGCUUCACGUUCAAAUUAUCAGAGAGCGCCAUUUAAGGAAAAAAAAAUUAAAAAAUAGUGAAAUCAGGUCUCUACCAGGAAUCUCUAGUCCAUAGGAUAAGCGAACAGGACCCGUACAAGCACUGAGUUCAGCGCUGAUUAGGUGAGGACUCAAUUCAGGAAGCUGUCCCUUUUCACUUGGUUAGGCCGUGGGGCUCAUAAGAAGUAUUAGUACAUUCGAGUUUUUGACCAUCGACACUUCUCACACGUAAUACAUUAAGCAUGAAUUGACCAAAGAUAGAAGAAUGCUAGCUCACAAGCAAACAGCAAUUCUUGACAUCAGAAAACAAGGUUCCCCAACAAUAUAGAAGUUAGGGUAACUGUUAGGUUAUCAUCAAGCUCUGUACUUAUGGAGUGAUUCCACAAAAGCCGAGGCAAGAGAGACAACCAAGAAACCUAAUAACAUCUCCCAGCUUUUCUGAACAUAU
rnacentral:lncRNA from 1 species